rnacentral:lncRNA from 1 species
GAAAACCCCACAACAAAACCCUCAUCUCAGAAACAUCCUGAAUACUCAAUGUUUAGGUGCAAAAAUAUUAAAAGAUUAAUAACAUGAGUCACUUAAUGGUUUAAGUUCUCUUAUUGGACCAGUCUAGAUGGAAGACAGACAGUAGUAAGCUGAAAGUAAAAAUUUCAAUUGCUUUCUUACUAGUCUACUAAAAGUAUCUUUUAAGCACAGGGUAUAUAUGAAUUUUGUAGACUUUUGCAUUUUCACAAUUUUAGCAAAUUCCAGUCUGUGUCUCUGACAGUUUUUUUAUAGAUUUGUCCUACUUUUUUGUGCAUUUUAUGCAUAUCCUUUAAAAACAUAUACUCAAAAUAGAGCUCCUAAUUAAUAUACAACAUGAGUUUCUUCACAUACUUUCAUCUUAAUCCAAUUUCCCUUUAGAGCCCUUGGCCAUGAGCUGAGGACAAAGGUUACUGUAACUUCUUGAGAUAUUGUUUCCUUGAUACUUUGCUCAUUUAUUUUUCUAUUUUAGAAUAUUGUGUGGCAAUUCUCAUGAUACAGCCAAACCUAACUCACCUAUUCUCAGUACCUGACCAAUGCAUUAAAGAAAGAUUCUCAAACAAGAUCUGUGUCUCUGGGAUUGAUACCUACGAAGACUCAAAAUUGAAGAACUAUAAGGACUGAGUAUUCUAGUGCCUGCUGUACUGGGUAAAUUAAAUCCAAAAGAACUGGGGGAAGAAAUGCUUCCAUGUUUUGCCUAUAUAAACCCAAUAUUUAGUUAGUUACCUGUUUCACAAGAACCUGUGACUAAGGUGAAGAGAAAUGAUCUCUUCCUUUAUACAAUUACCUAAUUUCUUACAGCUUUCUAAGUCAGUUUUCAGUUAAGCACCAUUUCCUACAUGAACUGUUAUUCCUACCAAAUGCAACUGUUUGUUACAUAGGGCUGAACUGGACGUAAUUUAAACAUUUUCAUGAAAAAACAAACCACUAAUUGGCUUAACACUACACCCUUAUCAGGAAGGAGAAGCAUUUACAGAAAAUACAGUUUGUGAAGAAUAAACGUAUUUUGGAACCUGAGCCAAAGGUUUCUCACCAAUACCUUAAUAAGUCACCGUGCAGGUUGUUUUCACAGGCAACAACACAGCCAGGUCAACUGUUGCUCCUGGCAACUUCCAUUGUCCCAAAAUAUGUGGAAGAUGGAGAAGCCAAUGACUGAAAUCCACAGUUAGGAAUACAGGCCAAAAGCUCAACAAACUGCUACUGGAAGCAACUGGAUACCAUAAU